AUUGAACGCUGGCGGCAGGCCUAACACAUGCAAGUCGAACGAGUGGCGGACGGGUGAGUAAUGUCUGGGAAACUGCCUGAUGGAGGGGGAUAACUACUGGAAACGGUAGCUAAUACCGCAUACCAUCGGAUGUGCCCAGAUGGGAUUAGCUAGUCGGUGGGGUAACGGCUCACCUAGGCGACGCGCCCUAGCUGGUCUGAGAGGAUGACCAGAGACAGUGGAACGGAGACACGGUCCAGACUCCUACGGGAGGCAGCAGUGGGGAAGAUUGCACAAUGGACGCAAGCGCGAUGCAGCCAGGCAGCGUGUAUGAAGAAGGCCUUCGGGUUGUAAAGUACUUUCAGCGGGGAGGCGUUACCCGAAGAAGAAGCACCGGCUAAAUCCGUGCCAGCAGCCGCGGUAAUUC
rnacentral:rRNA from 1 species